GACGUAGGGCGCGAGCGUUGUCCGGAUUUACUGGGCGUAAAGAGCGCGCAGGCGGUCGUUCAAGUCGCGUGUGAAAGCCCCCGGCUCAACUGGGGAGGGUCACGCGAUACUGAUCGACUCGAAGGCAGGAGAGGGAAGUGGAAUUCCCGGUGUAGUGGUGAAAUGCGUAGAUAUCUGGAGGAACACCGGUGGCGAAGGCGGCAUCCUGGACCGACACUGACACUGAGGAGCGAAAGCCAGGGGAGCAAACGGG
rnacentral:rRNA from 1 species